rnacentral:rRNA from 1 species
AGGCAGCAGUGGGGAAUAUUGGACAAUGGGGGAAAGCCUGAUCCAGCCAUGCCGCGUGAGUGAUGAAGGCCUUAGGGUUGUAAAGCUCUUUCACCGGGGAAGAUAAUGACGGUACCCGGAGAAUAAGCCCCGGCUAACUCCGUGCCAGCAGCCGCGGUAAUACGGAGGGGGCUAGCGUUGUUCGGAAUUACUGGGCGUAAAGCGCGCGCAGGCGGUUAGUUAAGUUGGAUGUGAAAGCCCGGGGCUCAACCUCGGAUGUGCCUUCAAUACUGGAUCGCUGGAGUUUGGAAGAGGAGAGUGGAAUUCCCAGUGUAGAGGUGAAAUUCGUAGAUAUUGGGAAGAACACCAGUGGCGAAGGCGGCUCUCUGGUCCAUUCCUGACGCUGAGGCGCGAAAGCGUGGGGAGCAAACAGGAUUAGAUAC